rnacentral:sRNA from 1 species
UAUUCUGCCCCAUGGGGAAGGAUGAGAAGCUUCGACUAAGGUUCGACUCGAGCGAAGCGAGAGAACGUUGCCGCAGGCAAUGGCGCCGAAGGGCGAGGAGAGAUAGCGACGAGUUAUCCUUCCCCCACCACCA